GACAGAGGGUGCAAACGUUGCUCGGAAUUACUGGGCGUAAAGCGCGUGUAGGCGGUCACGCAAGUCAGGUGUGAAAGCCCAGGGCUCAACCCUGGAAGUGCACAUGAUACUACGUGGCUGGAGUACUGAAGAGGAGAGCGGAAUUCCCGGUGUAGAGGUGAAAUUCGUAGAUAUUGGGAAGAACACCGGUGGCGAAGGCGGCGAGCUGGUCCGUAUCUGACGCUGAGGCGCGACAGCGUGGGGAGCAAACAGG
rnacentral:rRNA from 1 species